GCGCAGCAGUCGCGAAACCUUCGCAAUGCAGGAAACUGCGACGAGGGAACUCCAAGUGCCUACGCUCAGCGUAGGCUGUUCUCAAGCCUAGAAAGCUUGAGGAGUAAGGGGCUGGGGUAAGACGGGUGCCAUCUGUGGUAGCAGUCAAUAGAUUCGAUUUGUUACUGCAAGGCAUAAGCCGCCGCGGUAAUACCCGCAGCCCAAGUGUGGCCGCUUUUAUGGGCCUAAAGCGUCCGUAGCCGGCCCGGUAAAUGCCUGGGGUAAAUC
rnacentral:rRNA from 1 species